rnacentral:lncRNA from 1 species
ACCAUCAAACCAUCAAAAUAAACCGCCUAAUAUGGAUGGCAGAUGUAUGUAUACAGACGGAGAAUUCCAUGGGUAUUUCAAAAAGUUUCUAACAAUCAGUAUGGAAGAAUGUUUUGAGGCAAGCCAAGGCUCACGAAAAGCUGUAACGAUAACUGAUGAUGAAUGUCACGUUAAAGCUGAUGGUAAAAGCGAACCAUUCUUCAGACAUUUACUCUUUUCCCCAUAUUCUUGCUAUAAUUUUGUAGAUUUUCUUUGUUAAAUGUUUCUCUUAAUAUUUGUAGAAUUCUGCAAGGAUUUUGUCGUUCUUGGAGCUGUGUUGCUCUUUAGUUUAUGGAUAAAUCUAAUCAAUCCGCAAAAAAAAA